rnacentral:rRNA from 1 species
ACGAACGCUGGCGGCGUGCUUAACACAUGCAAGUCGAACGGAAAGGCCCUGCUUGCCGGGUACUCGAGUGGCGAACGGGUGAGUAACACGUGGGUGAUCUGCCCGCACUUCGGGAUAAGCCUGGGAAACCGGGUCCAAUUACGGAAAUGACCUUUCAUGGAGUGUGGGGGGUGGAAAGAUUUGUUGGGGUGGGAUGGGCCCGCGGCCUAUCAGCUUGGUGGUGGGGUAAUGGCCUACCAAGGCGUCGACGGGUAGCCGGCCUGAGAGGGUGGACGGCCACAUUGGGACUGAGAUACGGCCCAGACUCCUACGGGAGGCAGCAGUGGGGAAUAUUGCACAAUGGGCGGAAGCCUUAUGCAGCGACGCCGCGUGGGGGAUGACGGCCUUCGGGUUGUAAACCUCUUUCGACAGGGACGAAGCUUCGGUGACGGUACCUGUAUAAGAAGCACCGGCUAACUACGUG